rnacentral:tRNA from 1 species
UGUUUGGUGACCGAGUUCUAGGUGGUAGACUGUAGAUCUAUUAACGGAGUUAAGUCUCCCCAACAA